rnacentral:rRNA from 1 species
GUGCUUGCCGCUUUUACGAGCGGCUCACCUUAAAUGUAUUAGCUGGAUCUGUCUUUGAGACUUGGUUUGACUUGGCGUAAUAAGUAUUUCGCUAAGGACAUUCUUCGGAGUGGCCUCGUUUCUAGGACGCUUGUCCGCUUUCCAAUACAAGUUCCACCUCGUGGACAUGACUUUUUAUUAUCUGGCCUCAAAUCAGGUAGGACUACCCGCUGAACUUAAGCAUAUCAAUAAGCGGAGGAAAAGAAACUAACAAGGAUUCCCCUAGUAACGGCGAGUGAAGCGGGAAAAGCUCAAAUUUGAAAUCUGGCAGCCUCAGGUUGUCCGAGUUGUAAUCUAUAGAAACGUUUUCCGCGCUGGCCCAUGUACAAGUCCCUUGGAAUAGGGCGUCAUAGAGGGUGAGAAUCCCGUCCUUGACACGGACCACCAGUGCUUUGUGAUACGUUUUCAACGAGUCGAGUUGUUUGGGAAUGCAGCUCAAAAUGGGUGGUAAAUUCCAUCUAAAGCUAAAUAUUGGCGAGAGACCGAUAGCGAACAAGUACCGUGAGGGAAAGAUGAAAAGCACUUUGGAAAGAGAGUUAAACAGUAUGUGAAAUUGUUGAAAGGGAAACGAUUGAAGUCAGUCGUGUCUAUUGGACUCAGCCGGUUCUGCCGGUGUACUUCCUUUAGAUGGGGUCAACAUCAGUUUUGAUCGCUGGAAAAGGGCGGGAGGAAUGUAGCACUCUCGGGUGAACUUAUAGCCUUCCGUCGUAUACAGUGGUUGGGACUGAGGAACGCAGCAUGCCUUUAUGGCCGGGGUUCGCCCACGUACAUGC